rnacentral:rRNA from 2 species
AGAGUUUGAUCAUGGCUCAGAUUGAACGCUGGCGGCAGGCCUAACACAUGCAAGUCGAACGGUAACAGGAAGCAGCUUGCUGUUUCGCUGACGAGUGGCGGACGGGUGAGUAAUGUCUGGGAAACUGCCUGAUGGAGGGGGAUAACUACUGGAAACGGUAGCUAAUACCGCAUAAUGUCGCAAGACCAAAGAGGGGGACCUUCGGGCCUCUUGCCAUCGGAUGUGCCCAGAUGGGAUUAGCUUGUUGGUGGGGUAACGGCUCACCAAGGCGACGAUCCCUAGCUGGUCUGAGAGGAUGACCAGCCACACUGGAACUGAGACACGGUCCAGACUCCUACGGGAGGCAGCAGUGGGGAAUAUUGCACAAUGGGCGCAAGCCUGAUGCAGCCAUGCCGCGUGUAUGAAGAAGGCCUUCGGGUUGUAAAGUACUUUCAGCGGGGAGGAAGGGAGUAAAGUUAAUACCUUUGCUCAUUGACGUUACCCGCAGAAGAAGCACCGGCUAACUCCGUGCCAGCAGCCGCGGUAAUACGGAGGGUGCAAGCGUUAAUCGGAAUUACUGGGCGUAAAGCGCACGCAGGCGGUUUGUUAAGUCAGAUGUGAAAUCCCCGGGCUCAACCUGGGAACUGCAUCUGAUACUGGCAAGCUUGAGUCUCGUAGAGGGGGGUAGAAUUCCAGGUGUAGCGGUGAAAUGCGUAGAGAUCUGGAGGAAUACCGGUGGCGAAGGCGGCCCCCUGGACGAAGACUGACGCUCAGGUGCGAAAGCGUGGGGAGCAAACAGGAUUAGAUACCCUGGUAGUCCACGCCGUAAACGAUGUCGACUUGGAGGUUGUGCCCUUGAGGCGUGGCUUCCGGAGCUAACGCGUUAAGUCGACCGCCUGGGGAGUACGGCCGCAAGGUUAAAACUCAAAUGAAUUGACGGGGGCCCGCACAAGCGGUGGAGCAUGUGGUUUAAUUCGAUGCAACGCGAAGAACCUUACCUGGUCUUGACAUCCACAGAACUUUCCAGAGAUGGAUUGGUGCCUUCGGGAGCUGUGAGACAGGUGCUGCAUGGCUGUCGUCAGCUCGUGUUGUGAAAUGUUGGGUUAAGUCCCGCAACGAGCGCAACCCUUAUCCUUUGUUGCCAGCGGUCCGGCCGGGAACUCAAAGGAGACUGCCAGUGAUAAACUGGAGGAAGGUGGGGAUGACGUCAAGUCAUCAUGGCCCUUACGACCAGGGCUACACACGUGCUACAAUGGCGCAUACAAAGAGAAGCGACCUCGCGAGAGCAAGCGGACCUCAUAAAGUGCGUCGUAGUCCGGAUUGGAGUCUGCAACUCGACUCCAUGAAGUCGGAAUCGCUAGUAAUCGUGGAUCAGAAUGCCACGGUGAAUACGUUCCCGGGCCUUGUACACACCGCCCGUCACACCAUGGGAGUGGGUUGCAAAAGAAGUAGGUAGCUUAACCUUCGGGAGGGCGCUUACCACUUUGUGAUUCAUGACUGGGGUGAAGUCGUAACAAGGUAACCGUAGGGGAACCUGCGGUUGGAUCACCU